GAUGAAGAACGUAGUGAAAUGCGAUAAGUAAUGUGAAUUGCAGAAUUCAGUGAAUCAUCGAAUCUUUGAACGCACAUUGCGCCCCCUGGUAUUCCGGGGGGCAUGCCUGUUCGAGCGUCAUUACAACCCUCAAGCUCUGCUUGGUAUUGGGCCCCGCCAGUUCUGGCGGGCCCUAAAGUCAGUGGCGGUGCCUUCCGGCUCCGAGCGUAGUAAUUCUUCUCGCUCUGGAGACCCGGUUGUGUGCUUGCCAACAACCCCCAAUUUUUUUCAGGUUGACCUCGGAUCAGGUAGGGAUACCCGCUGAACUUAAGCAUAUCAAUAAGCGGAGGA
rnacentral:misc_RNA from 1 species